AGCAGCUGGAACUCUUACUUCCUUCUUCACAUCUGACAAGGAGAGAGUCUGUUCUCAGAAACUCCUGGGCAUCAGAUGACCGGCAUUUUGGGGCUAUGUGUUAUUUCUUCUGUGAUUGUGCCAUGUAGAGGAUCCCUUCUAUUUUCAUAGUUGAUGUAUGUUCGCUGUCUUCUUCAGUGUGUAGCCAACCACUGUGAAGGCACAUUAUUUCGUCCCUUCUACUGAGAUGGCUGAAGACUCAGCAGGCCUUCCUUCUGAUUAUCAGUUUUGGAUGCAGAAGCUUUCUGUCUGGACUCAGGCCUCCACUUUGGAAACCCAGCGAGACAUCUGCCUUCACCUGCCACAGUUCCAGGAGUUCCUGAGGCAGAUGUAUGAAACCUUGAAAGAGAUGGAUUCAAAUACAAUCAUUGAAAGAUUCCCCACAAUUUGCCAGCUGUUGGCAAAAUCUUGCUGGAGUCCUUUUAUCUUAGCUUAUG